UGUGCCUGAUUCCUACAUUUAGAGAUCCCUGGCUGAGCCUACACUGCUCUGUGUCCUCAGACCUAGAGAGCCACCUUCAGCCAUCCCAGGUCAGCCUGGCCCUGGGCCAAGCCUGGGGACACCUUCCCCAGCCAGGCCACAGCCCAAUUGCCUUCUCUGAACCUUCAAAUGAGUCAGUGCAGGCACCAUUUCCUCAGGACCCGCUGAAACUCUGAGCAGCAAAGUGUCUUCUGGUUUAUCUGGAGGAAGGAAAAUGACGUCGUGAGGUAAACCGCACAGCCUGAAACCACGAGGCUGAGGGUCCCAGUGAUGUCUGCUUUCCAGCAACAGUCACUCGUGUGCAUGGAGGGGCACAGAGCCCGAGACGUUCUGGUCAGAGGGUGACUGGGAAGACAGAGGGAGAUUUUCAAAUGUGGAACCACAAGAAAGGAUGGACGUCAGAGACCUGAUCUUCAUGUGUAGACGAGGGAGAGGAAGCUGGUGGGCUUUGGCCCUGUACCUUCAACCUCAAAACUACAAAGUUUAUUUGCGGACAGGGUGGGUGUCUCUCCGCCCUGAGGCCUGAGUGGAGGGCUCCCAGGUUCAAGCCCAAACCCCACCUGCUAACUGUGUCACCCUCUGCAAGCUGGUUUCUUCAUCCAUCCAAUGUCCUGCUUCAUCGCGGCAGCAGAGUUCCAGUAAGGAGGGGGAUGCUGGAGCCGGGCAGCCUGCGUGACCUGGGCUAAGCGUUUGUUCUCACUCUGCUUCAGUCCCUUGGCUAUAAAAUGGGAGUGCUAAUAAUAUCUUCUCAUAAGGUCAUUAGGAGACUUAAAUAAGUCAAUGCCGUAAAGUGCUUAGAACAAGGCCUGGCACAUAAUGAGUACUCAGUAAAAGCUAUCAUUCAUUCAUUCACUCAUUCAUCCAUUCCAUCCUGCCUGUUUCCAAAAAGAUUUGAGAUGACUCACAAUGGAAAGCACAAAUAUUAUAGGCUUUUAAGCAAGGUAUAAAGACUACAAGGCUAGGGUUACUCCAGAACCUUGGGCUGAGCAAGCUACUGCAUCUGACCAUCUUGUCCAAAAGGUAGCAAGCUCUUUUCUGAUAAAAAAAAGAAAAAAGAAAAAAGAAAAAGCACACCAGCUUUUCAGGACAAUAUAUUUCCCUGGUUCAAUCUUUUUCAAUGACAUUAAACGAUGCAAGAGGCAGAGCCUCCUCUCACCCUCCCUUCUACCUUUUUGAA